AGGCUACUACUACUAGCCGAUUGUUUAUUUGAGCUGGUAGAAUAUUUUUCCUACUAGUCGAUUGGUUAUAUUGAGUUGGUAGAAUAUGAGCUGGUAGAAUACUACUAGUUGGGGAUCGGUGGCAGAAUACUGCCAGUAUGAAGAUCGGGACGCGUGCGGUACAAGAUCGGAAGAUUCGGCCAAUGCAUCGGUUCACCUUAUCAAUCUAUCUACGCCGGACUGAUGAAUAGAACUGGAGGAUCGAGGCAUUAGUCAGACUUUGCAUUGCGGAAUAAUCUCACAUAUUCAUCGUGGAAUGACCGCCGGAAGAACAGACCAUUACGCGCUAACAAAAAGGCUGCCGGCCGGAAUGACCACCCACGGAUGCGUAUCUCAAUCUAAGACGAAUUAGUCUUUUGCUAGUGUGUUGUUUAGGUGAACUAGUAGUAAAUUGUAUGCUUUUUUUCUUUCGAAAUGUAUUUUUAUCUAUUUAUUUUUGUGUUUUUCCAAAUUAAUUCAGAGUAAUUUGCAUUCUGUCUGGAAA